rnacentral:rRNA from 1 species
UGCAAGUCGUACGAACAGCGGAAAGUGCUUGCACUUUCCAAGUAAGUGGCGAACGGGUGAGUAACACGUGAAUAACCUACCUCAAAGUCUGGGAUAACCAUUGGAAACAGUGACUAAUACCGGAUAAAACCCAAGUGCACAUGCACUAAGGUUAAAAGCUGCGUUUGCAGCGCUUUAAGAUGGAUUCGCGGUGCAUUAGUUAGUUGGUGAGGUAAAGGCUCACCAAGACGAUGAUGCAUAGCCGAGUUGAGAGACUGACCGGCCACAUUGGGACUGAGACACGGCCCAAACUCCUACGGGAGGCUGCAGUAGGGAAUCUUCCACAAUGGGCGCAAGCCUGAUGGAGCAACGCCGCGUGUGUGAUGAAGGCUUUCGGGUCGUAAAGCACUGUUGUAUGGGAAGAACGGGUUUAAGAGGAAAUGCUUAGACAGUGACGGUACCAUACCAGAAAGGGACGGCUAAAUACGUGCCAGCAGCCGCGGUAAUACGUAUGUCCCGAGCGUUAUCCGGAUUUAUUGGGCGUAAAGCGAGCGCAGACGGUUGCUUAAGUCUGAAGUGAAAGCCCACAGCUCAACUGUGGAAUGGCUUUGGAAACUGGGCAACUUGAGUGCAGUAGAGGUAAGUGGAACUCCAUGUGUAGCGGUG